UGAAAAGUGAGUUCUAUUGGCAGUUCAAGUGCAUUUGUGAUUCUUCCAUGCUGAUGGCCUGCUGUAUCCCAGCUGAGUUGGAGCAGAUUUCCUGUCAGAGAACAUCUCCAAGACGCUAUGAAUCAUAUGACUAACGGAAGACUUCCAAGGAUCAGCAGCUGGCCUAUGAAGAAACCAGGG